rnacentral:rRNA from 1 species
UACGAAGGGGGCUAGCGUUGCUCGGAAUUACUGGGCGUAAAGCGCACGUAGGCGGCUUUCUAAGUCGGGGGUGAAAUCCUGGAGCUCAACUCCAGAACUGCCUUCGAUACUGGAGAGCUUGAGUCCGGGAGAGGUGAGUGGAACUGCGAGUGUAGAGGUGAAAUUCGUAGAUAUUCGCAAGAACACCAGUGGCGAAGGCGGCUCACUGGCCCGGUACUGACGCUGAGGCACGGAA